rnacentral:rRNA from 1 species
UUGACCUCAAAUCAAGCAAGACUGCCCGCUGAACUUAAGCAUAUCAAUAAGCGGAGGAAAAGAAACUAACGAGGAUUCCCCUAGUAACUGCGAGUGAAGCGGGAAAAGCUCAAAUUUAAAAUCUGGCAGUGGUUCACUGUCCGAGUUGUAAUCUAGAGAAGUGUUGCUCAUGCUGGACCAUGUAUAAGUCUUCUGGAAUGAAGCGUCGUAGAGGGUGAGAAUCCCGUCUUUGACAUGGACUCCCAGUGUAUUUGUAGCAUGCUCUCAAAGAGUCGAGUUGUUUGGGAAUGCAGCUCUAAAUGGGUGGUAACCUCCAUCUAAAGCUAAAUAUUGGCGAGAGACCGAUAGUGAACAAGUACCGUGAGGGAAAGAUGAAAAGAAUC